rnacentral:rRNA from 1 species
AACGAACGCUGGCGGCGUGCCUAACACAUGCAAGUCGAACGAGAAAGGGGCUUCGGCUCCGAGUAAAGUGGCGCACGGGUGAGUAACACGGGGGUAACCUGCCUCUAAGAUUGGGAUAACUCGUCGAAAGAUGAGCUAAUACCGAAUAAGACCACAGUUCCCGCGGGAACAGGGGUCAAAGGUAGCCUCUGCUUGCAAGCUAUCACUUAGAGAUGGGCCUGCGCACCAUUAGCUAGUUGGUAGGGUAACGGCCUACCAAGGCAAAGAUGGUUAGCUGGUCGGAGAGGAUGAUCAGCCACACUGGAACUGAGACACGGUCCAGACUCCUACGGGAGGCAGCAGUGGGGAAUAUUGCGCAAUGGGCGAAAGCUUGACGCAGCAACGCCGCGUGAGUGAUGAAGGCCUUCGGGUCGUAAAGCUCUGUCGGGAGGAACGAAUGCUCCUGAGGUUAACAGCCUCGGGAGGUGACGGUACCUUCAAAGGAAGCACCGGCUAACUCUGU